AUUCAAACUACCCCACAAAGGCCUACCAUUACUUAAAUAAGGUAUUAACCUGCAUCAAACUUUGAGGCACUGUCUGUCAACUCUGUCUUCUGAUAGAAUUCAGAAUCCUCCUCGGCACUGAACUUUUUAAGCAUUUUUAACUUUAACUAAACAAUGUUAUGAUUUUUUUUCUUCUUUUUUUUUUAAAAUCUUUUCACCCCUAACAUACCACUAAACUUCCCAAUUUCCCAUGAAUUACCAUACACCCUAAUUAACAAAAUAAAAUCAGAAAAAUAAAGAUAAUAAAAUAAUCAGUCAGAGUUCAGAAUUGCCGCAGCCUCCUUGGCCCUAAAAGUCGUCAGCAACUUUAAAAUGGAACUAAAUAAUAAUAAUGAUAAAAUAUAACAAUUUGCAACUUAUUCGUCCUGGGUGUGAAAAACUUUAAAACAGUUGCCAAUACAAAGGCCAGGCUAAGAGGGGCAAUCAGGGCAGUAAAAGCUGGUUUCCGUCCUUAUGCCCCUUUGGUAGCACAACUUGCACCUUUUCUGGGGUUUCUUAUUUUUGGGGGUUGGUGGUAUGCGGAAACUGAAGUGACCUGUCUCAACCCUUUUGCUGCUAGGCCCGGCUGAUUGUUCCCCACUGUGGCACUCAGUAAGCAGCCGAGAAAUCAGCUGAAACUGAAAAUCCAGAUAUGUGGAUUUAAUUUCAGCAUUUGCCUUUUUGUAUAGAAUAAAGGCAUUGUGUGUUGCCAUUUGCAUUAGGUAAAUGCUAAGUUUUUUGUACCAUGCUCUGGUCUUCCUUUGUAUUAAAUAUGGCUGCAGCAGUUGGUCGGACAGGUCAACUCCCCACAUAUGCUUGUUGUACUGCCAAAUGCAGGCUGGCACCCGUCUAGUUUCUUGUCUGCCACAAACUGCAACUCUUCGAGUGUGCUCAGUAUGCAUGGAUGUUAGCAUGAACACCUCCUUUUUAUCUUUAAAUUUGAGAGCCAGCAGUUCGUCCUGGCAGAGAGCAGCUGUUUCCCCCCUCUCUAGCUUUUCUUGUGCCAGGGCUUUGGGAAACCAACACAUUUUGUGCAUGGUUUCAAAGCAAUAAAGCAUCCGAGGAAGAGAGAUG